UGUUCUCCUGGGGAAGCUACUUACAGAAGAUAAACUGCAUUGAUUCAAUGAAACUGUUAAUGGGAGUGCAGUUUUACAGCUGGAGAUCUGGAAAGUGGCAGGGUCUUUUUGGAGAAUAGAGAAACAAAAGCUACUGAUGGUAAGGAUAGGAGUGACUUGACCUGUCUCAAGAUGGAACUCAAUUAAUUCACAACUGAAAUGAUAUAGCACAGUUGUUUGUGGCAACUGGAUGAAAGGGAGAGGCACUUUGGCGAUUAGAGCACUGAAAACUGUGGGGUACCUAGGGGUGCUUUGAAACUUGAUGUUGGAAAACCUGAACUGCACAGUAUCAACAGGAUAAUUAGAUUUAGAAAAGUUCUGGCAAUUGUGAACUUCAGUGAGAGACCGGAGUAAUGAGCAUAUAUCCCCAUCAUCAAUCUGUGUUGCCCCAUUCUUCUCCCCUGCCUUUCCCUGGCCUUCAGUAUUUGCUGCAGAAUACUAUAGAUGAAGCCUACUUCUUGUACUCCUUGCAACCCCACUGGAUUGUCUUGUCAGACGUAACUCCAUUCCCACCAUUGUCAACAGCCGGAGACAGUUCAUCAGGUUUGGAGUGAAGCAAAUCUUGAAGCUUCCAAAAAUAAGUUUCAGGUAUUAACAAUGUCCUUACAGCAGAGCCAUAGAAACCUAAUGUUGUACAUAGCUAUUGAUAACAAUUAAUUAAUAACUUAUACCUGAUAUGAAGCGAAGUUUAAAGAA